rnacentral:rRNA from 1 species
AUUAACCACAAUAAAUCUUUUUGAGUUUGAGUUCUCGUCCGAUCACUGAAGCCAAGCACGGUCGGGCGCGGUUAGUACUUGGAUGGGUCCCCGCUCAGGAACACCGCGCGCCGUUGGCG